rnacentral:rRNA from 1 species
AGCAUAUCAAUAAGCGGAGGAAAAGAAACCAACAGGGAUUGCCCCAGUAACGGCGAGUGAAGCGGCAACAGCUCAAAUUUGAAAUCUGGCUCUCAGGGCCCGAGUUGUAAUUUGUAGAGGAUGCUUUUGGCGAGGUGCCUUCCGAGUUCCCUGGAACGGGACGCCACAGAGGGUGAGAGCCCCGUAUGGUCGGACACCGAGCCUCUGUAAAGCUCCUUCGACGAGUCGAGUAGUUUGGGAAUGCUGCUCAAAAUGGGAGGUAUAUGUCUUCUAAAGCUAAAUAUUGGCCAGAGACCGAUAGCGCACAAGUAGAGUGAUCGAAAGAUGAAAAGCACUUUGAAAAGAGGGUUAAAAAGUACGUGAAAUUGUUGAAAGGGAAGCGCCUAUGACCAGACUUGCGCCCGGUGAAUCACCCAGCGUUCUCGCUGGUGCACUUUGCCGGGCACAGGCCAGCAUCAGUUCAGCGCGGGGGAGAAAGGCUUCGGGAAUGUGGCUCCCUCGGGAGUGUUAUAGCCCGCUGCGUAAUGCCCUGCGCCGGACUGAGGUACGCGCAUUGCAAGGAUGCUGGCGUAAUGGUCAUCAGCGACCCGUCUUGAAACACGGACCAAGGAGUCGUCUUCGUAUGCGAGUGUUCGGGUGUCAAACCCCUACGCGUAAUGAAAGUGAACGUAGGUGAGAGCUUCGGCGCAUCACCGACCGAUCCUGAUGUUCUCGGAUGGAUUUGAGUAAGAGCAUACGGGGCCGGACCCGAAAGAAGGUGAACUAUGCCUGUAUAGGGUGAAGCCAGAGGAAACUCUGGUGGAGGCUCGCAGCGGUUCUGACGUGCGAAUCGAUCGUCAAAUAUGGGCAUGGGGGCGAAAGACUAAUCGAACCUUCUAGUAGCUGGUUUCCGCC